rnacentral:rRNA from 1 species
AACGUAGGGGCGAGCGUUGUCCGGAAUUACUGGGCGUAAAGGGCGCGUAGGCGGUUAUCCAAGUCAGGGGUGAAAACUCUGGGCUCAACCCAGAGCGUGCCUUUGAAACUGGGUAACUUGAGGGCAGGAGAGGGGAGUGGAAUUCCCAGUGUAGCGGUGAAAUGCGUAGAUAUUGGGAGGAACACCAGUGGCGAAGGCGGCUCUCUGGCCUAACCCUGACGCUGAGGCGCGAAAGCGUGGGGAUCAAACAGGAUUAGAUACCCUGGUAGUCCCUGAGCGGGCU